UACGUAGGGUGCGAGCGUUAAUCGGAAUUACUGGGCGUAAAGCGUGCGCAGGCGGUUUUGUAAGCCAGAUGUGAAAUCCCCGGGCUUAACCUGGGAAUGGCAUUUGGGACUGCAAGGCUCGAGUGCGGCAGAGGAGACUGGAAUUCCUGGUGUAGCAGUGAAAUGCGUAGAUAUCAGGAGGAACACCGAUGGCGAAGGCGGUGGUCUGGGCCGGAACUGACGCUGAGGAGCGAAAGCGUGGGGAGCGAACAGG
rnacentral:rRNA from 1 species